GAACGUAUGGCUUAGUAGUCAGCCAUUGGACGGUUGCCAACAGGCGCGGGUUCAAAUCCCGCUACGUACA
rnacentral:tRNA from 1 species